CUGUGAAGCCUUAAAGUCAUUGACUCACAAGUUGGCGGCGGACAUUUGAUGGCAACACAGAUUGCUGUGGUCACUGACUCAAAACCUGUACAACAGGCUUUGCAAAGCCCUGGAUCAUGGACCCCCUAUAUCGACACUGUUUUCAUGGCUGUUUUCAUCUCAUCACACGCUAUUGCACCCCUGUGAUCAAGCAGUGGGUACUGAGUCACAUACAUGUGACUGGCAACACGAUUG